rnacentral:tRNA from 1 species
CAAAAAAGAGUUUCUAGAACGCUAACUUUGGGAGUUAGAAGUCCUUUUAAAGGUUUUUUGA